UAUGAGAGGGAGUUGGUUCUUUGCAGAUGAGUUCCCUUCAGUCUCUGGAGGUUGCUCUGAAUUAGUUAGAACCUCUCUAGGGUUUUUCCACUGAAUUUUUUUUAGAAUUUAUAACCUGAUUUUCGUGGCUUUGUGGGCUCAAAUGAGAGAGGUCAAAGUCCAAGAUUUUUAUGUUAUAUUUUAUUUAUUUAUUUAUUUAUUUUUUCUCGUUUUUCAUUUUUUUUUUCAGAACGCGUGGGCUUCUCCUAGCGAGCAUGACAGUUCAAGAAAUUCC
rnacentral:lncRNA from 1 species